rnacentral:lncRNA from 1 species
CUUCACACUUCACUUCAUCCCUUCUACCCAUCACAACAUACAAAGCAACUACACCUGGAUUUUUCCAAACAACUUUUAUUUCCUCAGAGUCUUCCUUAAUCCUAUGGAACAAGAAGCUGCCACUGAAUAGGGCCCAGUAUAGGGGCUUGCUUUUCUACUCCCUCCCCCCAAUAUAAAAAUAUAGACUUUUUUUUGUGGUCCCAAAAUCUUGUGCUGCGGAGGGAGGGAAGGGGUGGCAGGUCCCUGUUUUGUUCUGUCUCAAGGUGAUACUCUGUAAUGCCUUGGACAGCGUGGCUGGCAUUCCAAGGACUUAACGGCUGUCACAUGGAAUCAGCGGCCUGGAGGGGAACUAGCAUAUUUCCCACUGUUACCCCAUCUUGGGGCUAUAUCCUGGGCUUGAACAUAAAGGCAUUAUCAGACCCGGGGAGAAACAGUCAGUGGGGGAGAUUUAGGGACAAAACAAACCUCAGGUUGGCCCAAGGGACCCCUGCUGUAACAAUUCCAGGAUGGGGAGUCAGAUAGACUACAGGAUAUAGGAGAAAAGGCAGGGGCAGAGCGGGGCCGUGGGGGCCUGGCCUGAGGCAGCCUGCAACAGAAAAGAGAGAGGAAUCAGGGCUGUGAAAACUCUCCUCCUCUUCUGUUCUGCUAACCAGGGGCUGGGAAGUGAAAGAAGUGGAGCGAGAUGAAGAUGGGUAAGGAUGGGCAAGUUGGUUACUGCACAGUGGUUUGACGCUGGAACCAGCCAGCUCCUAGACCUUAGGCCCUGACUAAAAGUUGUUUUCUUUUGCUUUGGAUUGAAGACUUGGCCAUGGUGGGGGAAAAAAAAAUCAGGGACUAGAUUCUUAAUGGAAGUACAUUUAGUCUUUGUGCUCAAAAGGAGUAGGGAAGCAGAAAAUUAUUCUGAAUGACAGAAAUGGGAAUGAGGGGACAGAAGUGAGGGGUGGUGUGAGGGACUGGACCCAAGUGCUCACCCUGGUGUAGCAGAGCAGGAUCCCAGCUCCAGCUCACUGCUCUCCCUGGUCCGGGGGGUAGGGGAUGUGGGGCCUGAAGAGCCUUUCAUCCCUCUGCGAGUCGGCGGUGAGCCCCGGCCCAACCUGGGCCUAGCCUGUGUGGACAGGGUUUGCGCUAAGAGGCUGGAUUCUUCCAUGAGUUUUUUGCUUUUAGUUUGCUUCUAGAGUUUCCAUGCAUAAGAGUGUUGUAGUAUAGGGAUCAGUAGAGGUACUGGGACAUUGAAUUCUAGCUGAGAGGGUGAGGCAAGAUAAUAGCCAGAGAAGUCCUGGAUUCAGUCCAUGACUAUGCACUCCAAGUCUAUAACUAGGGGUGGCAAACGGAUCCAGCAUUUAACCGCCAUGGCUACACCAUGACUAAGGUCUGGGUGAGUAGAGAAACACUGUGUAGAAAGAUAGUGGAGGGUUGGUAGACCUCUCUCAGAGCCCUCUAUGCUUUAGCCCCUGCCAGAGCAGUGUACACUUCACCCAUCCAGUCAGCCUCUGCCUAUACUCAGCUUUACCUAGCAUGGGGAUCUGGACUGAAUCGGAGUUGGUGGCAGGGCUGUUCCUAGCAGCAGCAACCAAAUGUGUUACCUGGGGAAUCCGGGACCCCUCCUGGCGGAAACUCUCCUCGGACAGGUCUGGGCAGAAAGAGAGGAGAAGCUAAGGGCAGGGGCAGGGAAAGCCAAAGCUAGCAGGCUAAGGUUGGGGUAUAUCUGGCAGGGACACAGGUUGAAAGCAAGCAAAUGACCUGGCUGAUGGGGAUGGUGGAGGGCAGGAAGGGGACUGGACAGACAGGCACUCAGGCACCAGAGAAGCUCUCUGAUGUGGCCAAGGGUAGAUGCAGUAAAGCAGUGCUGAGCAUUUUCCCUCCCACUACCCAGAGGAACAGUGCCUUGCUGGGUUCUGCCAGAGUAGCUAUGCUGGAGACCCAAAAAUAUUACCUGCAAUCGAGUCUUGAUGCAGGGCAUCCGAGCUCCAGUCCCUAGCAGACCUUUCCCGAUUACCAUGACAGCCUCUGGUUUGUCUCCAGAGGACAAGAGUGAGCAACUGCUCCCUAGGGAACAGAGGAAACUGAUCAGGGUAGGGGUCACAGAGAAGAGGAGGUAACUUCCAAAGGAUCAGGGUUUCUUAACCUUGGCACGUUGACAAUUUGGGUUGGAUAAUUCUUUAUCGUGGGGAGUAGUCUUGUGCAUUGUAGGAUGUUUCGCAGCAUCCCUAGCCUCUAAACAAUUUAUGCUGUUUCCUCAUCUCCCCCCUCCUCAGUGUAACAACCAAAAAUGUCUCCAGAUGUUGCCUGAUGUCACCUGGCAGCAAAAUCACCCCUGGUUGAGGCUCUAGUCUGGUGGUCCAAGGGGUGGAGCAGCAACUCCAGGCUAGAAUCGGAACGCACCCAAGCUUAACUCCUGUGUCAGUUUAUACUGCCGCAAUCAUAUGUUUAGCAUUUGAGGAUCAAGUCAGCUCUACCCAGGACUGGUGGGUUCAGUGCUACCCAUUGAGGAGAGUUGACAGGUUGGGAGUAGGGGUCUUUGAAUGAGGUAGAACAUGUUGGACUAGAGUCUUAAAAUCAUUCCCAUCCCUUUCUUUAUAUAGCUGGGUCUAUAAUUUAAAGGAGAAGAGAUGGCUUUGUGUGAAUGAUACGGCUACACACAGCAUUUAGCAGUGUUGACAGGAGAAAGUACCGUCAUGCUUUUUUCAUUCUCCUGUUUUGUCUAGUGUUGCCCAGCUCCUGGAGUCAGGGAAUUUGCAUAAGUAGCAUUUUGCAGGUAGACAAAAGUCUUCAGGUUCCUCAACUGAUAAAAUGAGAUUAAGUGUGUAGAGCAGUGCCUGGCACAUAGUAAAUGUUCAGUAAAUGUUAACUAUUGUUUUAUUACACAGACACAUUAAUAAAUUCCAGCUUCCUAUACAAAGGCACCAGUGUUAGAGGUUUAGGAUACCAAGAGGAUAAGUGAUGCCCCUGGUCUCCCAACUAGGCUUAAAGAACCUGGCCUGGCCAUGGAGGAGGCUGGCAAACCCAGAUUUCAGUGGCAGUGGGUACAGACCUGGUAUGUUGAAUGAAUCAGGCAGUAGACAGGAGCCCAGCUUGUGUGAGGAGGCUGGGCCAGAACUAGUAGGAGCUGGGGAUGGAGCGAGGCUGCCUGCAGGACGAUGGUUCAGGGGCUGCUGCUGCCGUCUCCUGUCCUGGCUUCGGGGCUCUGAGUGGAAGAGAUACAAGCAGAUAAAAGGGCAAAUAAGUGGGGCACUAUGAGGCAGCCUUCACUGACCUGCUGGCUUCCGUGGUCAAAAGAUGCCAGUUUUCAAGCUUGUCAUCAGACCCACAUCCCUCUCCUGAAGUAACUAUUAAUAUAAGAUGGGUAGAAAGACCUACUAUUUAUUACAGUUAUCCAUUCUCCACCAGCCUUCAUCCUGCUAGUUUUUUUUUUUUUUUUUUUUUUUAAAGGUUUCCACUCUGUCAUCCAGGCUGAAGAAGUGCACAAUGGCACGAUCAUGGCUCACCGAGCCUCAGCCUCCUAGGCUCAGGUGAUCCUCCCACCUAGCCUCCUGAGCAGCUGGCACUAUAGGUGCCCGCCACCAUGCUCAGCUAAUUUUUUUUUUGUUUUGUUUUUGAGACAGAGUCUCGCUUUGUUGCCCAGGCUGGAGUGUGGUGGUGCGAUCUUGGUUCACUGCAACCUCCGCCUCCCGGGUUCAAGCGAUUCUCCUGCCUCAGGCUCCCGAGUAGCUGGGAUUACAGGCGCAUGCCACCAUGCCUGGCUAAUUUUUGUAUUUUUAGUAGAGACAGGGUUUCACCAUGUUGGUCAGGGUGGUCUCAAACCCCUGACCUUCUGAUCCACCCGCCUUGGCUUCCCACAGUGCUGGGAUUACAGAUAGGUGUGAGCCACCGCGCCCAGCCUAAAUUUUGUAUUUUUAGUAGAGACGGGGUUUUGCCAUGUUGCCCAGGCUGGUCUUGAACUCCUAGGCUCAAGAGAUCCACCCACCUCCGCCUCCCAAAGUGUUGGGAUUACAGGUGUGAGCCACCGCACCUGGCCAGUUUAUUCUUUUGGCAAAGAAGUUACUGAGCUUGGCUAACACAGCUUUCCUUGGUUCCCCUCUUACCACUGAUUGCUUCUCUUCCAGCUGUUCUUCCUGCCCCUUAAAUGUCAAGUCUUCCCCACCAUUCUGUCCUUGGGCCUCUCCUGCUCUACUUACUCUUAAACUCCCAAAUCACUCUGUAGCCCUUUUCUCCUGAAAUCCAGCUCUAAUUGUCCACUGGAGAUUUUUUUCCCAAGAAAGUCCCCUUGACAAAACAAAACUCAUUCUCUCCCUUUCUUUCAUUCUCCCUGUCUUCAUGCAAAACCCAACUGCUAGAAACCUUGUUUCAUCUUUCUACUAUUCCUCUCUUAGAUUUGCAUUUGUGUAAUCAAAUCCUACAAUUCUAUCUCUGCAUUCACCUGAGGUUUUUUUUUUUUUUUUUUUUGGAGACAGGGUCUCACUCUGUCACCUAGGCUGUAGUGCAGUGGCAUGAACAUGGCUCACUACAAACUUGACCUCCUGCAUCCCAAGUAGCUGGGACAACAGGCACACGCCACCAAGCCCAGCUAAUUUUUAAAUUUUUUGUGGAGAUGGAGUCUCACCAUGUUGCCCAGGGUGGUCUGGAACUCAUGGGCUCAAGCGAUCCUCCUGCUUCAGUUCCCAAAGUGCUGGGAUUACAGGUGUGAGCCAUUGCACUGGGCUUGAAGAUCUAAAGGAUGAAGUCUAAACUUUUGAACACUACACAUUCAAAGCCUUGCCCACUAUAGUUCCAGUCUGCAAAUCCUUAGUAGGAUGCUGAUUUGAUCCUUCAUACCCUCUGCUAUAGACCCCAUGGCUACUAGUUGUGUGUGGUUCCUCUGGAACUGUUUCCUUUUCUAGUGAAACCAUGACCAUCUUUCAUGUCCCAUCUCAAAUGUUACCUCUCUUACUUGAAGCUUACUUGACCAUUACAGGCAACAUUAAUUGUUCUCUUCUCAUUACCUUCAUCCUUUGUUUGUGUGGCUAGUAGUUCAUGGUUUCUGUUUAAUUAAGUUAGUAUGUGUAAAGUACUUAAAGGCACAUACUACUCAAUAAACAUAAGCUAAUAUUUUUUCUAACUGGAACUUGAGUUUCUUGGGAGUAGGGACUUUGUUGCCUCCAACACUAUAUAUCCCAGUGCCUGUAAAAUGCUGCCUGAAAAACCAGAGACCUUAAUCAAUGUUUUGUUUACUUGAACAGCAGACACCAUGAGCUGGAUCAAUCAUCUGUGGGAGUCUAAAGGCAUACAGUUAUAUCCUUUGGGGCAGCUGUCUCUGGUCCACUCAUGUCUCGAGACUUAUUACUACAAGUUCUGAAGGGUGGGGCCCAGGGGGACAGAUGGUAAAUGGAUGGGGUAGGGAGGCUUGCAGCUUUGGCGUGUCCUUCCUCAUCACAGAGGAACAGCAGGUGCCAAAUGCUCUCAAACUGAUGGGCUAUUAACUUUUCAUAGAACUGAAUUCACCAGAGGUGCCAGCAUGCCAACUGACCAUUAAUAAACGUGUUGGAUAUGAAAAUCCUCUAACUUAAGAAGUGACAGUAACUUCAUCUUCCCAGCCACACUGGGAAUUAGCAGGCAGUGACAAGAAUACUUUUGAAAGGUCCAAACCAGGUCAGGCACGGUGGCUCACACCUGUAAUCCCACCACUUUGGGAGGCUGAGGCAGGCGGAUCACUGAGUUCGGGAGUUCGAGACCAGCCUGACCAACGUGGAGAAACCCCGUUUCUACUAAAAAUACAAAAAAUUAGCCAGGCGUGGUGGUGAGCGCCUGUAAUCCCAGCUACUCCAGAGGCUGAGGCAGGAGAAUCACCUGAACUCGGGAAGCGGAGAUUGCAGUGAGCUGAGAUCGGCCACUGCACUCCAGCCUGGGCGACAGAGUGAGACUGUCUCAAAAAAAAAAAAAAAAAAAAAAGGUUCCAAACCAAAAUGGAAAAAAAAAAAAUUGAAUGGAAAAAAAAAAUCGAUACUUGUAUGAAUAAAGAAGAAAGGGAGAGAUCUCAGGAUGGAAGCUACUCUAUUAUGAGGAGAUAUGCUGGGUACCAAUUAUAGGUUAAGACGGUGGUCAAGAGUCAAAAACGCCAGGCACGGUGGCUCAUGUGCCUUGGGAGGCUGAGGCGGCUGGAUCACUUGAGUCCGGGAGCUUGAGACUAGGCUGGGCAACUUGGUGAAACCCCAUCUCUACUAAAAAAAGAAAUACAAAAAUCAGCCAGGUGUGGUGGUGUGCACCUGUAGGCCCAGCUACUAGGGAGGCUGAGGCUGGAGGAUCACUUGAGCCAGGGACACGAAGGUUGGAGUGAGCUGUGAUCACGCCACUGCACUCCAGCCUGGGUGACAGAGCGAGACUGUCUCAAAAAAAAAAAAAAAAGUCAAAAACAACCAGAUGUUAGGGGGCUAGUGAGAGUUGUUGGCACAGGUUGCCAAUAGGAUAACAGAAGUCAAGACUCGUGGCCAUAGUCAAAUAACCUAAAACAUUAGCUACCACCAAUGACAGAGAUAGUCUAGGGCCCAGAGCCAAGUAAUUCUGUGAUUAAAAUGGAUGUCAGGAUGAUGUCCAGCUGACAGUGCACAGUAGGCAGAAAUCAUGAACUUGAUAGAGGAAAUAGUUUAGAUAAUUUGAGAAAUAUCUACACACACAGGCAUGCUGAAACCAUAUUAAGGGACAAACCUUCACCCUACCCCAGGAAAGGGUAAAAGCAAGUGAGAAAGAACAAGCAAGAGUGCAAGAGUGAUGUGAUCAGCUCUGCUUCCAGAGGUUAUGAAAUGGUAUCUUAUGGCAACCAGCCAGAUGUUCCAUUUUGGGGGUGGUAGGAUAGUACUGGGCAAAGGUCUAAGAGGUCUGAGGGGAGACUGAUCUCCCCUUGAAUGAGUCAGAAUGGGUGUUCUAAGGUCUCACUGUUUACAGCAGCAGUUACUUGACUUGUGCCAAGGUCCUGUGUGUCAUCCUCCCUGAACGUCUUUGGAACCGUCCCUAGCACUCCAGAUCUUAGUGAAUCCCUGGGACAAUCACAGACCUGAUUUAUGCCCUCUGAGGGGUAGAAAGGUGGGACAAGCAUUCUUUUUUUUUUUUUUUGAGACGGAGUCUCGCUCUGUCGCCCAGGUUGGAGUGCAGUAGCGCGAUCUGGGCUCACUGCCAGCUCCGCCUCCUGGGUUCACGCCAUUCUCCUGCCUCAGCCUUCCGAGUAGCU